rnacentral:rRNA from 1 species
AUUGAACGCUGGCGGCAGGCCUAACACAUGCAAGUCGAGCGGAUGAAGGUAGCUUGCUACCUGAUUCAGCGGCGGACGGGUGAGUAAUGCCUAGGAAUCUGCCUGGUAGUGGGGGACAACGUUUCGAAAGGAACGCUAAUACCGCAUACGUCCUACGGGAGAAAGUGGGGGAUCUUCGGACCUCACGCUAUCAGAUGAGCCUAGGUACGAUUAGCUAGUUGGUGAGGUAAAGGCUCACCAAGGCGACGAUCGUUAACUGGUCUGAGAGGAUGAUCAGUCACACUGGAACUGAGACACGGUCCAGACUCCUACGGGAGGCAGCGGUGGGGAAUAUUGGACAAUGGGCGAAAGCCUGAUCCAGCCAUGCCGCGUGUGUGAAGAAGGUCUUCGGAUUGUAAAGCACUUUAAGUUGGGAGGAAGGGCAGUAAGUUAAUACCUUGCUGUUUUGACGUUACCGACAGAAUAAGCACUGGCUAACUUCGUGCCAGCAGCCGCCGUAACAC